CAGGCUCUGCAGACCCUCUCUUUGCUGACACCGUGGAGUGCCGUGCCCAGGGGAAGUUCUGCCGUGCCGGGGCGUGCCCACCCACCUUCGCUGCCACCGGGACGUGCCACGGGGGGCUGCUGAACUGCUGCUCCAAGAUUUUGGCAGAAUAAGAAGAAAAGGCUUUCCUUGAUCUGAGCCCUUCUACCAGCAACAUUUCCACUGCCUUGAGGAGCUGCUUUUCAUGGAUUCCUCCUCUAUCCAAAGCCUCCUGCAAAUGAGCAUUAAAAGAAGCUUCCAGAGGGCAUGUCCUGUUAGCACACUGCUUCUGGAGAUGCGGGUUUUUCCUCACUGAAGUCACUCCCUUUUUGCUUUUAAUACUCAAGCCACUUUGGCUCCUUGGCCACCUAUUGCAGCCUACCUCACAGGGGUGUUUGGAGGUUCAAUCACUUCAGGCUCAUGCAGCUCUUGGAGGAUGUGAAGCAAUAUAUAUAUUAUUAUUUUAUUCACACAUGAAAAUAAAGGUCUUCUUAAACCAUAA